rnacentral:rRNA from 1 species
UGGCGGCUGUAGCGCGGUGGUCCCACCUGACCCCAUACCGAACUCAGAAGUGAAACGCCGUAGCGCCGAUGGUAGUGUGGGGUCUCCCCAUGCGAGAGUAGGGAACUGCCAGGCA